UACGGGGGGGGCAAGCGUUGUUCGGAAUUACUGGGCGUAAAGGGCUCGCAGGCGGCCAACUAAGUCAUACGUGAAAUCCCUCGGCUUAACCGGGGAACUGCGUCUGAUACUGGAUGGCUUGAGUUCGGGAGAGGGAUGCGGAAUUCCAGGUGUAGCGGUGAAAUGCGUAGAUAUCUGGAGGAACACCGGUGGCGAAGGCGGCAUCCUGGACCGACACUGACACUGAGGAGCGAAAGCCAGGGGAGCAAACGGG
rnacentral:rRNA from 1 species